rnacentral:rRNA from 1 species
UACGAGGGGGCGAGCGUUGUUCGGAAUUAUUGGGCGUAAAGGGCGCGUAGGCGGUGCGGUAAGUCACCUGUGAAACCUCUAGGCUUAACCUAGAGCCUGCAGGCGAAACUGCCGUGCUGGAGUGUGGGAGAGGUGCGUGGAAUUCCCGGUGUAGCGGUGAAAUGCGUAGAUAUCAGGAGGAACACCUAUUGCGAAGGCAGCUCGCUGGGACGUAACUGACGCUGAGACGCGAAAGCGUGGGGAGCAAACAGG